GAGUUUGAUCCUGGCUCAGAGUGAACGCUGGCGGCGUGCCUAAUACAUGCAAGUCGAACGGAGAUUAAAGUAAGCUUGCUUAUUUUAAUCUUAGUGGCGCACGGGUGAGUAAUGUAUAGCUAAUCUGCCCUACACUAGAGGACAACAGUUGGAAACGACUGCUAAUACUCUAUACUCCUUCUUUACAUAAGUUAAGUCGGGAAAGUUUUUCGGUGUAGGAUGAGGCUAUAUCGUAUCAGCUAGUUGGUGAGGUAAUGGCUCACCAAGGCUAUGACGCGUAACUGGUCUGAGAGGAUGAUCAGUCACACUGGAACUGAGACACGGUCCAGACUCCUACGGGAGGCAGCAGUAGGGAAUAUUGCUCAAUGGGGGAAACCCUGAAGCAGCAACGCCGCGUGGAGGAUGACACUUUUCGGAGCGUAAACUCCUUUUCUUGGGAAAGAAUUAUGACG
rnacentral:rRNA from 1 species